GACGAACGCUGGCGGCGUGCUUAACACAUGCAAGUCGAACGGUCAUGCUCCAGCUUUCUGGCGUGGAUCAGUGGCGAACGCGUGAGUAACACGUGUGCAACCUGCCCCAGACUCUGGAAUAAGCGCUGGAAACGGCGUCUAAUACUGGAUACGAAACUGGCCCGCACGGGCAUGGUUUGGAAAGUUCUUUGGUUCUGGAUGGUCUCGCGGCCUAUCCGCCUGUUGGUGAGGUAAUGGCUCACCAAGGCAACGACGGGUAGCCGGCCUCUGAGGGGUACCGACCACAAUGAGACUGAGACACGGCGCAGACUCCUACGGGAGGGAGCAGUGGGAAACAUUGCGCAAUAGGCGAAAGCCUGGUGCAAAGACACCGCGAGGGGGAUGACGGCCUUCGCGGUGAAAACAACUGUCGACCGCCAAGAAGCGAAAGUGACGGUACCUGACGAAGAAGCAUCGGAUAACUACGUG
rnacentral:rRNA from 1 species